rnacentral:misc_RNA from 1 species
GUGAAUUUUGAGUGCUUCUUUAUGAAGACUCGACCUCCACUUCUAACACUGUGCAUUAACAAAUUCGGUUAGGUUUUCGAGGCGCAAGUCUCAUAAGCCAGCCUUAUUUAUCAUUACAAACUUCAGUUAAAGAAUGUAACAAACCUAAAAUAAAAAA